CUUAUAUAUAUAUAUAUAUAUAUAUAGUACGUCUCAUAUGCUUUCAAAAGUACAAAAGUCUCUAUGCUUGUAAGUUGUUUUCAAUUAUGGGAUAUUCAAUUCGACAAUCGACUCCCUUAGACAUGAUCUACGUUAUUAGAAUUAUUUAAAAUCAAACUUCAUAAUUUUACGACAUUAUUUACUAAGUGUUCAAAUGGUCUAAAAAAUAAUUAUUUUAAUGACCAAUAUGAUACGUUUGUAAAUUCAACGGUGUAGAACAAUUCAAAUUACGUAAAAUUUUAAUAUAAAAUUCUACUUGAUAUCAAAGAUAAGAUCAAUACUUUCAAUUGAUAUUUGAAUCUUUUAUCACUAUUUUUUGUAAGAUUUUUAUUUUCAAUCGUUUAUUUUGAACAACAGGCAAACAAAAUCAAAAUAUUAAGAAAUUUGGUUUCUAAAUAAUUCUAAUAGUUUAAUUAUAUCUAACGAAACCGAUCGUCGAAUUGGAUAUCCUAUUAUUAAAAAUAAUUUAUAAAUAUAAAAAUCAUUAUAUAUAUAUAUAGAGUACGUCUCCUUUGUUUUCAAAAGUACAGAGGCCUCUGUGGCGCUUGUAAGUUGUUUUCGAUGAUGUGGUAUCCGAUUCAAAGAUUGACUCCAUUAGGCAUGAUUUAAACUAUUAGAAAUAUUUAAAAAUUAAAUUUCAUAAUUUUUCGACAUCAUGUACUAAGUGGUCAAAGGGUCUAAAAAAUAAUUAUUUUAAUGAUCAAUGUGACACGUUUGUAAGUUCAACGGUGUAGAAUAAUACAAAUUACAUUAAACUUUAAUAGAAAAUUCUACUUAAUAUCAAAAAUAAGAUCGAUACUUUCGAUUCGAAAUUUGAGUCUUUUAUCACUAUUUUUUAUAAAAUUUUUAUUUUCAGUCGUUUAUUUUGAGACUACUCGUUCAACCAGAAAACGAAGUCAAAAUAUUAUAAAAUUUGAUUUCUGAAUAAGUCUAAUAGCAUAAAUUAUGUCUAACGAAAUCGAUCAUCGAAUUGGAUAUCCCAUCAUUAAAAAUAAUUUAUAAGUAUGAAAAUUUUCAUACUUUUGAAAGUGUGUGAGUCUAGCUCUCUCUCGCUCUCUUUAUGUAUACUACCCCGCGCUACGCUGCGGGUUGAUAGUAUUUCAAAUAAUUUAAAUAUAUAGUUAUUAAAAUUUUAAGAUAAAAAAUUGGUAAUUAAUAAAAUAUAAAAAAGUUAUAAAAUAGUCUUGCGUACAUUAUAAAAUU
rnacentral:lncRNA from 1 species